rnacentral:sRNA from 1 species
UCUGGGCGGGGUGAUGCGCACCUGUAAUCUCAGCAACUUGGGAGGUUGAGGAAAGAGGAUUGCUAGUUUGAGGCCAGCCUCAGCAACUCAGUGAGGCCCUAAACAACUUAGCAAGACCAUGUCUCAA